AAAUAAUUUUGAUGAGGUCAGUGGUGCUCCCACCCACGUGGCAUACCUUGUCGGCUUAGCAGCUAGAGCGUCCUCCAAAGGUCAAAGAUUGUACCGCAGUGUGAACCUGGGAGCUAGAAAGGCAUGUGGAGAAAGAUACUGACGGUUACAAUUUUGCAAACCUUCCCCCGUGGUAGGAUACUCCCAGAGACAUUUUGGUGAGUGAGAACAUUCCCGCAGAGUAGAAAGUAUCCGAAAAAUAAACAAGAAGGGGUAUGACACGAGCUCCCCCCCGGAGACAUCGCUUAUAUGGAAAGUCCUCACUCGCAGACGAUAGGAUAGAGGGUGCUUUGUAAAGGCCAAGAAGGGAAAACAGGGCAAAUGAUGACUUUGCAUAAAUGCACGUUACGUCUUACACGCCAGUCUAUUUUCUAAGCGUCUAAAACUUCAGCUGACCUUGUGCAAGGAAACGUUUGCGAUUAUCCAUGGACAGGGCGAAGUGUGCGUUCCCCGGGCCUGGCGGGCGAGCCCUGCAGACGCCCCCUCCGGCUUUUCCAGACCUCAGCACUGAAAUCUCCGCGGAUCCACAGUCUCUGUGUCUUGCCUCCACGAGCUCAAAAGCCACAGGGCUCUCCCACUGUCCCCCUGCACGACCCACUCUUGAGGAUGUUUCAGGUUCUGCCACAUCGAGCUACGUGUUCAAGGCGUGGUCUCGUCACACCCACCCAGGUGCCUUAAAUUCCAGCAAGAGUCUCACCCCUUAAACGGUAUUGAUCAGAAUGAAAUUGAAAACCAAAAUAAGCCAAUGAAAAUACGAGGUAGUCCAAACACACAAUCUGGGGCACAUGUUCUUUUGUCAUUCAAUGGGAAGAGAAAUCGAGAUUCUAAUAAAGCUGGAAAAAUGAUUUCAAGAUUUUGGAGACUUGAAGCCAUUAUUGAUGCACUAUUGAUCUCCAAAUCCGCCCCCCCCACCCCAGAAACUUCAAGAAGCAGACAGAGAAAACAACCACAAAACGAACAAAUCGACCAAACAUGCAACCUUCUUCGGAGGGCCGGUCUUAAUCGCUAAUCAAAUUGAGAUCGUAAUAAACAUGUGUUCACACGUGC